rnacentral:tRNA from 1 species
CCGUUCGUGGCGUAAUGGUAGCGCAUCGGCCUUUUAAGCCGACAGGUGUGGGUUCAAAUCCUACCGGGCGGACCA